GCCAACGUAGCUCAGCAGGCAGAGCAACUCCAUGGUAAGGAGUAGGUCCGCGGUUCGAUUCCGCGCGUUGGCU
rfam:Parcubacteria group bacterium CG1_02_44_65 cg1_0.2_scaffold_28487_c, whole genome shotgun sequence.